CCUACGGGAGGCAGCAGUAGGGAAUCUUCCGCAAUGGACGCAAGCCUGACGCAGCAACGCCGCGUGAAGGAAGAAGGCUUUCGGGUCGUAAACCUCUUUUGACAGGGAAGAGCAGAAGCCGGUAUCACUCGAAUAAGCUACGGCUAACUACGCGCCAGCAGCCGCGGUAAUACGUAGGUGGCAAGCGUUGUACGGAUUUACUGGGAGUAAAGGUCGUGUAGCCGGGCUGACAAGUCAGAUGUGAAAUCCCGGGGCUCAACCCCCGAAGUGCAUUUGAAACUGUGGGUCUUGAGUAUCGGAGAGGCAGGCGGAAUUCCUAGUGUAGCGGUGAAAUGCGUAGAUAUUAGGAGGAACACCAGUGGCGAAGGCGGCCUGCUGGACGACAACUGACGGUGAGGCGCGAAAGCGUGGGGAGCAAACAGGAUUAGAUACCCUAGUAGUC
rnacentral:rRNA from 1 species